GCCUGCGCCGCAGCGGCGCUGCUGCUGGUUGGUCCGCGGUCCGCACGUGGAACCGCUCCUGGUCAGGUUGACCCGCGCCCCUUGGACCCUCCGGCUUGGUUCAUCCCGGGAUUGGACGCCCGCCAUGGCGGCAACUGCGGCGGAGACGCGCGUGUUUCUGGAGGUGCGGCGACAGCUGCAGAGCGCGCUGCUGAUCCUGGGAGAACCGAAAGAAGGAGGUAUGCCCCUGGAUAUUUCCAUAAUGCCAUCUUCACUCCAGGUGAAAACCCCUGAAAACUGCACGGAAAUCCAACUUCCAGCAGAGGUCAGGCUUGUACCUUCCUCUUGCCGUGGGCUGCAGUUUGUUGCUGGAGAUGGACUGCACCUGCGGCUGCAGGCACAGGCAGAAUUAGGCACAAAACUGAUUUCAAUGUUUAAUCAACGCUUACAAGCCCAAGAAUGUUGCACAUUUUAUUGCCAAUCCUGCGGUGAAGUCAUCAUAAAAGACAGGAAGCUGCUCAGGGUGCUCCCACUGCCAAGUGAGAAUUGGGGAGCUCUAAUUGGAGAAUGGUGUUGUCAUCCCGACCCCUUUGCUAAUAAGCCACUUCAUCCGCAAGAGGAGGACUGUUUUAUUGGAGACUCUUUCUUCUUGGUGAAUUUAAGAACCAGUUUGUGGCAGCCAAGACCUGAACUAUCCCCCGUGGAGAUGUGCUGUGUUUCUUCUGACAACCAUUGUAAAUUGGAACCAAAGGCAAAUACCAAAGUAAUUUGUAAGCGUUGCAAGGUGGUGUUGGGAGAGACUGUGUCAUCAGAAACUACCAAGUUUUAUAUGACAGAGAUCAUUAUUCAGUCAUCUGAGAGAAGUUUUCCCAUCAUGCCAAGGUCUCAGUUUGUCCAGAGCGUGAUUGCCCAGUGUCUGGUGCAGCUCUCUUCUGCUAGAAGCACUUUUAGAUUCACGAUUCAAGGUCAGGACAACAAAGUGUAUAUCUUGCUAUGGCUUUUAAAUUCAGAUAGUUUGCUGAUUGAAUCUUUGAGAAAUUCCAAAUAUAUCAAAGCAUUCCCCUUGUUGGAAGACACAUUGAAAGCACAUUCUGGUUCUGCCUGGAGUGCUGUCAAGGUCCUCUACCAGCCAUGCAUCAAAAGCAGGAAUGAAAAACUUCUCAGCUCGUGGGAAAGUGACAUCAGCGUCCACCCCCUAACCCUGCCCUCUGCAACCUGCUUGGAGCUGCUUUUGAUAUUAUUGAAGAGUAAUGCCAAUCUGCCUUUGUCCCUUCGCCAUAUGAAUUCCUUUCAGGUGGCCUUUUUGAAGAUGUAACUGUUGGAGCUGGGCAUUCUUCUCCCCCGACAGACACCUCUGAAGCAGGAGCACACCAAGGCUGGCAGUCUGCUCAGGAGGCAUCGAUUACAAAGACAAGAACCAGAGCUAUACACUUUACAUUGUAAGAUGCAUUUGAGAUUUCAUCUACUGAAUCAGAGCUCAUCAUCAAUCCUUAAUCUGGGAGAAAAAGUAUGAGGGAGUUAAUGGAAAUCAGUCAUUCUAAGAGGUAAGUUCUCCAGUUUUAAGAAUGACAAACACAUAAUUGUUCAAAACUAUAUUUUAAAAAGCAUCUAAACCGGACUAUCAUUCUUUUAAAAAUAUGCCCCUAUUUCCAUUCUGUAAUAAACUAAACCAAUUUGUUCUCAAUCCUGUUGUCAGGGCCAUGCUUAUUCUAGGAUCCUUUGGUGACAAGGUAAGCAGAGUGCAGGAUUUGUGUCCUGGUUUUGUCUCUUAGAAAACGUGCUUGGACCUUUGGCAGCCUUUCUGGUCAGAAAGACAACUGCUGACCAGAUACCUACAAUUUCUUUAUUCACCUUUUUCA